rnacentral:tRNA from 1 species
GAACCCUUGGCACAGUGGUAGCGCGUGAGAUUCCAGAGCGAUGGGGAAACCCGUCCUCAAGGGAAAUCCUCAAGGUCGUCCGUUCGAUCCGGGCAGGGUUCA